rnacentral:tRNA from 1 species
GGGUCGUUAGCUCAGUUGGUGGUAGAGCAGUUGACUUUUAAUCAAUUGGUCGCAGGUUCGAAUCCUGCACGACCCACCA